AUGUUUAAUGCUUUUCUUUAUUGUAGAGACAGUAUGAAAAAGUAUUUCAGACACAGUUAUCAAUUUAAGUAUUCAUCACUUUACAACAACUUUUCUUACAGUAUUUUUAGCCUGAAUAACUGUUGUGAUCAUAUUCUAUGUUUUCAUUUUCCCAUAGUUGCUUAUCUCGUGGCCUCACCUUCACCUUCUGCAGGUCAGAUCAGAUUAGCUGGAUCUGGGUCCACUCGGUGCUCUGGAAGAGUUGAAAUCUAUAACUCUUUACGUCACUCCUGGGGAACAGUCUGUGAUGAUGGCUGGUGGGACUUAAAAGAUGCUGAGGUGGUCUGUAGAGAGUUGGGCUGUGGGAUAGCGCUGCAGACCCAGUGGUCUAAUCAUUUUGAUCAAGGUAGAGUAAAUGCCUUCCGCAGUAUGUGGGCUGUUCAGGAAGUGAAACUUCUCUAGAUAAUUGUUUUUACGCCACCCCACUUAGUUACAAUUACUGUAACCAUGGUCAGGAUGCUGGCGUCGUCUGUUCAGGUAAGAAACUUUUGCAUGAAGUAUAUGGUUUUAUCACUUCAUAAUAACUUUUUUUUGUGUACUAAUCAAUACUUAGAUUCUGGUUUCUUUUAUUCCAUCAUAUUUUACUUUCCCAGUUAUGAAAAGAUGUUCAAAUGUCUUGUUUUACUACACUUUGUCUUCUGAACAUGUCUGCAGUUUAGUGCAUAUUUAACUAGAUAACAUCUCAUUUGGAUCAUUGAAAUAUAUUAUUUUAACCAAUUAAGUUUCUUAGUUAAACAUUUUUAAACAGUGUUGUCCAGUAAAAAAAAAUGAAAAUACAUAUCUUUAAAGGCAAUUUCAUCUAAUUCAAUUUGGGCACACAGCAACUUCCACUUCAGAGGGAAUUAAACACACCAAAUUUAAUGAUGUUACUAUGAAGGCCUGUAAAUAACUCCUCAUUUAAAUGCCACUUAAAGACUGAUUUAAAGACUUCUUCUUCAAAAAAAAUAAUCAUCAUUUCAUCCCAAAGAUCCUAAAAAUAUGUGGUGUUAAAAUUGGACAUCCCCCCCCAAUUGUCCAGAGAGAAACCAAGUAGUAGCAGUGUAUUGGAGAAGAGAAGGAGGCAGUACAGAUUAUUGUGGUAUUCAGGGGUGAGCACACCUCCCUCAUGUUUCUCUAUGUAUACAUCAGAAGUUGGAGGUAGUGUAACCAGCACUAACAGUCCUGCACAUAACUGCCAGCAGACACUAAAUCAGAUAUAGCAUGAAAAGAAAGAAGUGGGCUGGUAGUCAGCUGCAGAGUGGUUUUCAAAUAGGACUCCUUAAAUAAGAUUUGCCAUCUGGAUGUAUAAAAUGGUAUCAGCUAAGCUAUCAGCCAGUACAACAGGCAC
rnacentral:lncRNA from 1 species